CCUACGGGAGGCAGCAGUGGGGAAUUUUGGACAAUGGGCGCAAGCCUGAUCCAGCAAUGCCGCGUGCAGGAUGAAGGCCUUCGGGUUGUAAACUGCUUUUGUACGGAACGAAACGGUCUGCUUUAAUACAGUGGGCUAAUGACGGUACCGUAAGAAUAAGCACCGGCUAACUACGUGCCAGCAGCCGCGGUAAUACGUAGGGUGCGAGCGUUAAUCGGAAUUACUGGGCGUAAAGCGUGCGCAGGCGGUUAUAUAAGACAGAUGUGAAAUCCCCGGGCUCAACCUGGGACCUGCAUUUGUGACUGUAUAGCUAGAGUACGGUAGAGGGGGAUGGAAUUCCGCGUGUAGCAGUGAAAUGCGUAGAUAUGCGGAGGAACACCGAUGGCGAAGGCAAUCCCCUGGACCUGUACUGACGCUCAUGCACGAAAGCGUGGGGAGCAAACAGGAUUAGAUACCCUGGUAGUCCACGCCCUAAACGAUGUCAACUGGUUGUUGGGUCUUCACUGACUCAGUAACGAAGCUAACGCGUGAAGUUGACCGCCUGGGGNGUACGGCGCGAGUAGAACGAGANAGAGUGNGNGNGNGAGNGCGAGGCGACGACGAGGGAGGAGG
rnacentral:rRNA from 1 species